GUCCUUUCGUCACAAAGGGACCAUAAGAUGGCGCUGAAGAGAUGGAGGCCUGCAUAUAUUUAUACAAAUCUGUUAUUGAUAGUUGAAAUCUGCCAGAAGUUCUACAAACACAGAUGGAAGAUAGUGUGUUGAUGCUGGUGUUGUCUUGGAAGGCCAUGGAACAUUUAUGAGGGCACGCUUAGCUGGAGCAAGAGAAUCACUGGGGUAGGCUUAACUGUUGGUUAAGUUAAUAAAGUUAUGUCCCC